rnacentral:rRNA from 1 species
UAGGGAAUCUUCCACAAUGGGCGAAAGCCUGAUGGAGCAACGCCGCGUGAGUGAUGAAGGUUUUCGGAUCGUAAAACUCUGUUGUUAGGGAAGAACACCCGAGAGAGGAUCUCGGACUGCCGGUACCUAACGAGGAAGCCCAGGCUAACUACGUGCCAGCAGCCGCGGUAAUACGUAGGGGGCAAGCGUUGUCCGGAUUUACUGGGUGUAAAGGGUGCUCAGGCGGAUUUGUAAGUCAGAGGUGAAAUCUUACAGCUUAACUGUGAAACUGCCUUUGAUACUGCAACCCUAGAGUAUGGAAGAGAGUGAUGGAAUAUCUGGUGUAGCAGUGAAAUGCGUAGAUAUCAGAUAGAACACCAAUGGCGAAGGCAGUCACUUGGUCCAUUACUGACGCUAAAGCACGAAAGCGUGGGUAGCAAACA